rnacentral:rRNA from 1 species
GGGUUGUGAGGUUAAGCGACUAAGCGUACACGGUGGAUGCCCUGGCAGUCAGAGGCGAUGAAGGACGUGCUAAUCUGCGAUAAGCGUCGGUAAGGUGAUAUGAACCGUUAUAACCGGCGAUUUCCGAAUGGGGAAACCCAGUGUGUUUCGACACACUAUCAUUAACUGAAUCCAUAGGUUAAUGAGGCGAACCGGGGGAACUGAAACAUCUAAGUACCCCGAGGAAAAGAAAUCAACCGAGAUUCCCCCAGUAGCGGCGAGCGAACGGGGAGGAGCCCAGAGCCUGAACCAGUGUGUGUGUUAGUGGAAGCGUCUGGAAAGGCGCGCGAUACAGGGUGACAGCCCCGUACACAAAAAUGCACAUGCUGUGAGCUCGAUGAGUAGGGCGGGACACGUGGUAUCCUGUCUGAAUAUGGGGGGACCAUCCUCCAAGGCUAAAUACUCCUGACUGACCGAUAGUGAACCAGUACCGUGAGGGAAAGGCGAAAAGAACCCCGGCGAGGGGAGUGAAAAAGAACCUGAAACCGUGUACGUACAAGCAGUGGGAGCACGCUUCGGCGUGUGACUGCGUACCUUUUGUAUAAUGGGUCAGCGACUUAUAUUCUGUAGCAAGGUUAACCGAAUAGGGGAGCCGAAGGGAAACCGAGUCUUAACUGGGCGUUAAGUUGCAGGGUAUAGACCCGAAACCCGGUGAUCUAGCCAUGGGCAGGUUGAAGGUUGGGUAACACUAACUGGAGGACCGAACCGACUAAUGUUGAAAAAUUAGCGGAUGACUUGUGGCUGGGGGUGAAAGGCCAAUCAAACCGGGAGAUAGCUGGUUCUCCCCGAAAGCUAUUUAGGUAGCGCCUCGUGAACUCAUCUCCGGGGGUAGAGCACUGUUUCGGCAAGGGGGUCAUCCCGACUUACCAACCCGAUGCAAACUGCGAAUACCGGAGAAUGUUAUCACGGGAGACACACGGCGGGUGCUAACGUCCGUCGUGAAGAGGGAAACAACCCAGACCGCCAGCUAAGGUCCCAAAGUCAUGGUUAAGUGGGAAACGAUGUGGGAAGGCCCAGACAGCCAGGAUGUUGGCUUAGAAGCAGCCAUCAUUUAAAGAAAGCGUAAUAGCUCACUGGUCGAGUCGGCCUGCGCGGAAGAUGUAACGGGGCUAAACCAUGCACCGAAGCUGCGGCAGCGACACUAUGUGUUGUUGGGUAGGGGAGCGUUCUGUAAGCCUGUGAAGGUGUGCUGUGAGGCACGCUGGAGGUAUCAGAAGUGCGAAUGCUGACAUAAGUAACGAUAAAGCGGGUGAAAAGCCCGCUCGCCGGAAGACCAAGGGUUCCUGUCCAACGUUAAUCGGGGCAGGGUGAGUCGACCCCUAAGGCGAGGCCGAAAGGCGUAGUCGAUGGGAAACAGGUUAAUAUUCCUGUACUUGGUGUUACUGCGAAGGGGGGACGGAGAAGGCUAUGUUGGCCGGGCGACGGUUGUCCCGGUUUAAGCGUGUAGGCUGGUUUUCCAGGCAAAUCCGGAAAAUCAAGGCUGAGGCGUGAUGACGAGGCACUACGGUGCUGAAGCAACAAAUGCCCUGCUUCCAGGAAAAGCCUCUAAGCAUCAGGUAACAUCAAAUCGUACCCCAAACCGACACAGGUGGUCAGGUAGAGAAUACCAAGGCGCUUGAGAGAACUCGGGUGAAGGAACUAGGCAAAAUGGUGCCGUAACUUCGGGAGAAGGCACGCUGAUAUGUAGGUGAAGUCCCUCGCGGAUGGAGCUGAAAUCAGUCGAAGAUACCAGCUGGCUGCAACUGUUUAUUAAAAACACAGCACUGUGCAAACACGAAAGUGGACGUAUACGGUGUGACGCCUGCCCGGUGCCGGAAGGUUAAUUGAUGGGGUCAGCGCAAGCGAAGCUCUUGAUCGAAGCCCCGGUAAACGGCGGCCGUAACUAUAACGGUCCUAAGGUAGCGAAAUUCCUUGUCGGGUAAGUUCCGACCUGCACGAAUGGCGUAAUGAUGGCCAGGCUGUCUCCACCCGAGACUCAGUGAAAUUGAACUCGCUGUGAAGAUGCAGUGUACCCGCGGCAAGACGGAAAGACCCCGUGAACCUUUACUAUAGCUUGACACUGAACAUUGAGCCUUGAUGUGUAGGAUAGGUGGGAGGCUUUGAAGUGUGGACGCCAGUCUGCAUGGAGCCGACCUUGAAAUACCACCCUUUAAUGUUUGAUGUUCUAACGUGGACCCGUAAUCCGGGUUGCGGACAGUGUCUGGUGGGUAGUUUGACUGGGGCGGUCUCCUCCUAAAGAGUAACGGAGGAGCACGAAGGUUGGCUAAUCCUGGUCGGACAUCAGGAGGUUAGUGCAAUGGCAUAAGCCAGCUUGACUGCGAGCGUGACGGCGCGAGCAGGUGCGAAAGCAGGUCAUAGUGAUCCGGUGGUUCUGAAUGGAAGGGCCAUCGCUCAACGGAUAAAAGGUACUCCGGGGAUAACAGGCUGAUACCGCCCAAGAGUUCAUAUCGACGGCGGUGUUUGGCACCUCGAUGUCGGCUCAUCACAUCCUGGGGCUGAAGUAGGUCCCAAGGGUAUGGCUGUUCGCCAUUUAAAGUGGUACGCGAGCUGGGUUUAGAACGUCGUGAGACAGUUCGGUCCCUAUCUGCCGUGGGCGCUGGAGAACUGAGGGGGGCUGCUCCUAGUACGAGAGGACCGG